rnacentral:tRNA from 1 species
GAGGAUAUAGUUCACGUGCUAGAGCAUAUGCUUAGCAUGCAGGAGGUCCUGGGUUCAAUCCCCAGUAUCUCCU